UACGUAGGGUGCAAGCGUUGUCCGGAAUUAUUGGGCGUAAAGAGCUUGUAGGCGGUUUGUCGCGUCUGCUGUGAAAUUUCGGGGCUCAACCCCGAACUUGCAGUGGGUACGGGCAGACUAGAGGCAGGUAGGGGAGAAUGGAAUUCCCGGUGUAGCGGUGAAAUGCGCAGAUAUCGGGAGGAACACCGGUGGCGAAGGCGGUUCUCUGGGCCUGACCUGACGCUGAGGAGCGAAGGUCAGGGGAGCAAACGGG
rnacentral:rRNA from 1 species